GUGAAUCAUCGAAUCUUUGAACGCAAAUUGCACUCCCUGGUAUUCCGGGGAGUAUGCCUGUUUGAGGGUCGUUAGAAAAAAAAUCGAAGCGUCGCUCUUUUUUUUAAGGGUGAUCGCGCCGGAAUUGAACCGUUUUUCAAAUGUUAAUAAAUGACAAAGUGGCUUGAAAUUCAUGCAUUCGGUAUGAUUAAAGCGUAUUCAAGUCUAAUUUUGAUCAAGAACGCGCGAUGAACGAACCAUCUCAUGUAGUAAGUUCGA
rnacentral:misc_RNA from 1 species